rnacentral:rRNA from 1 species
UACGAAGGGUGCAAACGUUGCUCGGAAUUAUUGGGCGUAAAGCGCACGUAGGCGGCUUUGCAAGUCCCAUGUGAAAUCCCACGGCUUAACCGUGGAAGUGCAUGGGAAACUGCAGAGCUUGAGUACUUAAGAGGAUCGCGGAAUUCCCGGUGUAGAGGUGAAAUUCGUAGAUAUUAGGAAGAACACCAGUGGCGAAGGCGGCUCACUGGUCCGGUACUGACGCUGAGGUGCGAAAGCGUGGGGAGCGAACAGG